UACGGAGGGUCCAAGCGUUAUCCGGAUUUAUUGGGUUUAAAGGGUACGUAGGCGGAACUUUAAGUCAGUAGUGAAAGCCCAUCGCUUAACGAUGGAACUGCUAUUGAUACUGAAGUUCUUGAAUAUAGUUGAAGUAGGCGGAAUACGUCAUGUAGCGGUGAAAUGCAUAGAUAUGACGUGGAACACCAAUUGCGAAGGCAGCUUACUAAGCUAUUAUUGACGCUAAGGUACGAAAGCGUGGGUAGCGAACAGG
rnacentral:rRNA from 1 species